rnacentral:rRNA from 1 species
UGCGGGGGGGGCAAGCGUUGUUCGGAAUUACUGGGCGUAAAGGGCUCGUAGGUGGCCAACUAAGUCAGACGUGAAAUCCCUCAGCUUAACUGGGGAACUGCGUCUGAUACUGGAUGGCUUGAGUUUGGGAGAGGGAUGCGGAAUUCCAGGUGUAGCGGUGAAAUGCGUAGAUAUCUGGAGGAACACCGGUGGCGAAGGCGGCAUCCUGGACCAAUACUGACACUGAGGAGCGAAAGCCAGGGGAGCAAACGGG